rnacentral:rRNA from 1 species
AACCUGCCCAGCAGAGCGACCAGAGAACAUGUUUAUCAUGAACGGGGAAGUGGCGAAAGCCCCUUCCCCAAGUUGGGGAGGUGCUUCGCCUUGGCGGGGCAUCUUCUCGGCACAAUAACGAACCCCGGCGCGGUCUGCGCCAAGGAACAUAAAUACAUGUGUGCCCUUCUGCAGCCGGUUUGCCGGUUGUAUAGGUGGCACCAAGUCGUAUAUAACUUUAAACGACUCUCGGCAACGGAUAUCUCGGCUCUCGCAUCGAUGAAGAACGUAGCGAAAUGCGAUACUUGGUGUGAAUUGCAGAAUCCCGUGAACCAUCGAGUCUUUGAACGCAAGUUGCGCCCGAAGCCUUUAGGUCGAGGGCACGCCUGCCUGGGCGUCACGCAUCGCGUCUCCCCCCACCCACCUUGAGUGGGAGGGCCGGAGGAUGAUGGCCUCCCAUGCCUCACCGGGUGUGGAUGGCCUAAAUACGGAGCCCCCGGUUACGAAGUGCCGCGGCAAUAGGUGGUAGACAAGGCCUAGCCUAGGAUGCAUCGGAGUCGCGCACUUUGUAGCUCUUGAGGACUCGCAGGACCCUUAGUUUGUUCGCCCUUAGGGACGGCAAAACCGUUGCGA